rnacentral:rRNA from 1 species
GAUGAACGCUGGCGGCGUGCCUAAUACAUGCAAGUCGAGCGAACGGACGAGAAGCUUGCUUCUCUGAUGUUAGCGGCGGACGGGUGAGUAACACGUGGAUAACCUACCUAUAAGGCUGGGAUAACUUCGGGAAACCGUAGCUAAUACCGGAUAAUAUUUUGAACCGCAUGGUUCAAAAGUGAAAGAUGGUCUUGCUGUCACUUAUAGAUGGAUCCGCGCUGCAUUAGCUAGUUGGUAAGGUAACGGCUUACCAAGGCAACGAUGCAUAGCCGACCUGAGAGAGUGAUCGGCCACACGGGAACUGAGACACGGUCCAGACUCCUACGGGAGGCAGCAGUAGGGAAUCUUCCGCAAUGGGCGAAAGCCUGACGGAGCAACGCCGCGUGGGUGAUGAAGGUCUUCGGAUCGUAAAACUCUGUUAUUAGGGAAGAACAUAUGUGUAAGUAACUGUGCACAUCUUGACGGUACCUAAUCAGAAAGCCACGGCUAACUACGUG